rnacentral:rRNA from 1 species
AACGAACGCUGGCGGUAUGCUUAACACAUGCAAGUCGAACGGGUGUAGCAAUACAUCAGUGGCAAACGGGUGAGUAAUACAGAGGAAUCUACCUAGCAGUAAGGAAUAACUUUGGGAAACCAAAGCUAAUGCCAUAUAUUACCCUUCGGGGGAAAGAUUUAUCGCUGUUAGAUGAGCCUCUGCCGGAUUAGCUAGUUGGUAGGGUAAUGGCCUACCAAGGCGAUGAUCCGUAGCUGGUCUGAGAGGAUGAUCAGCCACACUGGAACUGAGACACGGUCCAGACUCCUACGGGAGGCAGCAGUGGGGAAUAUUGGACAAUGGGCGCAAGACUGAUCCAGCAAUACCGCGUGAGUGAUGAAGGUCUUCGGAUUGUAAAGCUCUUUUAGUGGAGAAGAUAAUGACGGUAUCCACAGAAAAAGCACCGGCAAACUUCGUGCCAGCAGCCGCGGUAAUAC